GCUAGCGGCAGGCUUAACACAUGCAAGUCGAGGGGUAACAGAGAGUGCUUGCACUCUGCUGACGACCGGCGCACGGGUGAGUAACGCGUAUGCAACCUACCUUUUACAGGGGAAUAGCCCAGAGAAAUUUGGAUUAAUACCCCAUAUUAUCUUUUUUUCGCAUGAAUUAAUGAUGAAAGUUUCGACGGUAAAAGAUGGGCAUGCGUCUUAUUAGUUUGUUGGUAAGGUAACGGCUUACCAAGACUUCGAUAGGUAGGGGCCCUGAGAGGGGGACCCCCCACACUGGUACUGAGACACGGACCAGACUCCUACGGGAGGCAGCAGUGAGGAAUAUUGGACAAUGGAGGAAACUCUGAUCCAGCCAUGCCGCGUGCAGGAUGAAUGCCCUAUGGGUUGUAAACUGCUUUUAUACAGGAAGAAACAUUUCCACGUGUGGGAACUUGACGGUACUGUAAGAAUAAGGAUCGGCUAACUCCGUGCCAGCAGCCGCGGUAAUACGGAGGAUCCAAGCGUUAUCCGGAAUUAUUGGGUUUAAAGGGUCCGUAGGUGGUUAUUUAAGUCAGAGGUGAAAUCCUGCCGCUUAACGGUAGAACUGCCUUUGAUACUGAUUAACUUGAGUUAUUGUGAAGUAGUUAGAAUAUGUAGUGUAGCGGUGAAAUGCAUAGAUAUUACAUAGAAUACCGAUUGCGAAGGCAGAUUACUAACAAUAUACUGACACUGAGGGACGAAAGCGUGGGUAGCGAACAGGAUUAGAUACCCUGGUAGUCCACGCCGUAAACGAUGGUCACUAGCUGUUUGAUUAACAUUGGUUAAUUAAGUGGCUAAGCGAAAGUGAUAAGUGACCCACCUGGGGAGUACGCU
rnacentral:rRNA from 1 species